AUGAGCACGAUAUUUCUAAAAGUCUAUGAAAAACUUCCUGCAGACCUAGAUACAAGAUCUUCUUUUGGUUCCUUCUUCAUGACAGGAUCAACACUAGAAAUAUGCUAUCCAGGAGAAAGAUGCAUCUUCCAGACUAUUCUUGUGUUCUAUGCUCCGAAAAAGUGGAGGAAACACUGGGUCAUCUAUUUUGGGACUGCUCCUUUGCACUUUCAUGUUGGGAUUCUAUUGUUCUUGGAAGACAUCGUGGCAUUUCCUCUUUUGAUGAGAUCUCAAUCAUUUCCGACCUGCUACCACAGGACAUUGUUUUGGAUAUCAUCCUUUCGGGUUGUUGGGGCAUUUGGUCCGUAA
rnacentral:rRNA from 1 species